GAUGAACGCUGGCGGCGUGCCUAAUACAUGCAAGUCGAGCGAACAGACGAGGAGCUUGCUCCUCUGACGUUAGCGGCGGACGGGUGAGUAACACGUGGAUAACCUACCUAUAAGACUGGGAUAACUUCGGGAAACCGGAGCUAAUACCGGAUAAUAUAUUGAACCGCAUGGUUCAAUAGUGAAAGACGGUUUUGCUGUCACUUAUAGAUGGAUCCGCGCCGCAUUAGCUAGUUGGUAAGGUAACGGCUUACCAAGGCAACGAUGCGUAGCCGACCUGAGAGGGUGAUCGGCCACACUGGACCUGAGACCCGGUCCAGGCUCCUACGGGGGGCAGCAGUAGGGAAUCUUCCGCAAUGGGCGAAAGCCUGACGGAGCAACGCCGCGUGAGUGAUGAAGGUCUUCGGAUCGUAAAACUCUGUUAUUAGGGAAGAACAAAUGUGUAAGUAACUAUGCACGUCUUGACGGUACCUAAUCAGAAAGCCACGGCGAACUACGU
rnacentral:rRNA from 1 species